CCACGACUUUGGAAAUGAUUCCUCAUGGCCUCCUAUUUGCUGCAAAUACACUUUACUUUGUGCGACAACUUCCACUGGUGUAGAGUCUUAUUUAACUCACCAAGAGGUGAGCCCCCUUGGUUCGGUAUCAGUAGUUUUUAAGAUAGUCUGCUGUAAGAGAAGACUGAGAAAGAGGCUCAGCUGAUGACAUCUCUGGUGUCUAGGAACAGAAGGGAGAAUCCAUCUGUUGGCAGGAAGAGAAAAAAGAAUGUACACAAGGUGCUUUUAAAAUGAUUAAUUUUGUCUUGGGAGAAAACUAUGUGCAUACAAGAUCCAAAAAACCUGAAUCAGCAGAAUAACCUGUCUGGCUUCUGUGUAUCUCAAGGUCAUCAUUACCAAAAAAAUUGGCUCUAGUGAAAGGCCUGGAUUGGAUCAUUUUAAUGAUUUGUUACAAAAUAUAUCUGAGCCGCUAUAAACAAUCUCCCCUUUGUUUAAAAGAAAGAAAACGAGAGAGAGCGAGAACAAGUAAAACGCUUCCUGUUGCAAAGUGAUCACUCUUGAAAACAAUUCAUAUAUUUUUCACAACAUUCCUCUUUGACCGGGCACCAGCAGCUACACACUCAGGAUGAGCAUGAUAAUGAAACAGGGGACAGAGGAGUUUAGCCAACAGACAAAAGCACAGGGUAUGAUUUCCCUAGUCUUUGAACUUCAACUGCAUUGCGGGUGUUUUAUAUGGUGACAGUUUUUCUCAAGUUACACCAAAUACAGUAUCCAGAACCAAAGAAUGUUUAAGAAGAUCUUACAUCAUCACGUGCUUCUUCACAUAUUUUCAUGCGUCACUAUUCUGAGUUUCUUUUUCAAGGCCCGUAUGAACUUAUCGAUGAUGCUGAAGAAUGGGAAGGCAGUUUGUUCUCACACACAGAAUAAAACUCUUCUUUCUUUGGUGUUGGAGGCUAAAGCUUACUUCUCAGUCUUUGUCUUCCUGAAAACCAAACAAAAAUCAGUUACAACCAGUAGUCAAGAGACAGGCCUAUCUUUUCAUAUCUGAUGACAAGUGGAAUUGUCACGGACUAGGUUCCUCGAGAAACUCAA